rnacentral:rRNA from 1 species
GACUAAGAAUCUUCCGCAAUGGGCGAAAGCCUGACGGAGCGACACUGCGUGAACGAAGAAGGUCGAAAGAUUGUAAAGUUCUUUUAUAAGUGAGGAAUAAGCUUUGUAGGAAAUGACAAAGUGAUGACGUUAAUUUAUGAAUAAGCCCCGGCUAAUUACGUGCCAGCAGCCGCGGUAAUACGUAAGGGGCGAGCGUUGUUCGGGAUCAUUGGGCGUAAAGGGUGAGUAGGCGGAUAUGCAAGUCUAUGUGUAAAAUACCACAGCUCAACUGUGGAACUAUGCUGGAAACUGCAUGACUAGAGUCUGAUAGGGGAAGUUAGAAUUCCUGGUGUAAGGGUGGAAUCUGUUGAUAUCAGGAAGAAUACCAGAGGCGAAGGCGAACUUCUAGGUCAAGACUGACGCUGAGUCACGAAAGCGUAGGGAGCAAACAGGAUUAGAUACCCUGGUAGUCUACGCUGUAAACGAUGCACACUUGGUGUUAAUCGAAAGGUUAGUACCGAAGCUAACGUGUUAAGUGUGCCGCCUGGGGAGUAUGUUCGCAAGAAUGAAACUCAAAGGAAUUGACGGGGGCCCGCACAAGCGGUGGAGCAUGUGGUUUAAUUCGAUGAUACGCGAGGAACCUUACCAGGGCUUGACAUAUACAGGAUAUAGUUAGAGAUGACUAUUCCCCGUUUGGGGUCUGUAUACAGGUGCUGCAUGGUUGUCGUCAGCUCGUGCCGUGAGGUGUUGGGUUAAGUCCCGCAACGAGCGCAACCCUUAUUGUCUGUUACCAGCAUGUAAAGAUGGGGACUCAGACGAGACUGCCGGUGAUAAGCCGGAGGAAGGUGAGGAUGACGUCAAAUCAUCAUGGCCCUUAUGUCCUGGGCUACACACGUGCUACAAUGGCCUGUACAAAGCGAUGCGAAACAGUGAUGUGAAGCAAAACGCAGAAAGCAGGUCUCAGUCCAGAUUGAAGUCUGAAACUCGGCUUCAUGAAGUUGGAAUCGCUAGUAAUCGUAUAUCAGAAUGAUACGGUGAAUACGUUCUCGGGCCUUGUACACACCGCCCGUCACACCACCCGAGUUGAGGAUACCCGAAGCAAGGUGGAAUCUGUUGAUAUCAGAAGAAUACCAGAGGCGAAGG